AGAGUUUGAUCCUGGCUCAGGACGAACGCUGGCGGCGUGCUUAACACAUGCAAGUCGAACGGAAAGUGCUCUUCGGAGUGACUCGAGUGGCGAACGGGUGAGUAACACGUGGGUGAUCUGCCCUGCACUUUGGGAUAAGCCUGGGAAACUGGGUCUAAUACCGAAUACACCCUGCUGGUCGCAUGGCCUGGUGGGGGAAAGCUUUUGCGGUGUGGGAUGGGCCCGCGGCCUAUCAGCUUGUUGGUGGGGUGAUGGCCUACCAAGGCGACGACGGGUAGCCGGCCUGAGAGGGUGUCCGGCCACACUGGGACUGAGAUACGGCCCAGACUCCUACGGGAGGCAGCAGUGGGGAAUAUUGCACAAUGGGCGCAAGCCUGAUGCAGCGACGCCGCGUGAGGGAUGACGGCCUUCGGGUUGUAAACCUCUUUCAAUAGGGACGAAGCGUGAGUGACGGUACCUAUAGAAGAAGCACCGGCCAACUACGUGCCAGCAGCCGCGGUAAUACGUAGGGUGCGAGCGUUGUCCGGAAUUACUGGGCGUAAAGAGCUCGUAGGUGGUUUGUCGCGUUGUUCGUGAAAACUCACAGCUUAACUGUGGGCGUGCGGGCGAUACGGGCAGACUGGAGUACUGCAGGGGAGACUGGAAUUCCUGGUGUAGCGGUGGAAUGCGCGAUAUCAGGAGGAACACCGGUGGCGAAGGCGGGUCUCUGGGCAGUAACUGACGCUGAGGAGCGAAAGCGUGGGGAGCGAACAGGAUUAGAUACCCUAGUAGUCC
rnacentral:rRNA from 1 species